rnacentral:rRNA from 1 species
UACGUAGGGUGCAAGCGUUGUCCGGAAUUAUUGGGCGUAAAGAGCUUGUAGGCGGUUUGUCGCGUCUGCUGUGAAAUCCCGGGGCUCAACCCCGGGCUUGCAGUGGAUACGGGCAGACUAGAGUUCGGUAGGGGAGACUGGAAUUCCUGGUGUAGCGGUGAAAUGCGCAGAUAUCAGGAGGAACACCGGUGGCGAAGGCGGGUCUCUGGGCCGAUACUGACGCUGAGGAGCGAAAGCGUGGGGAGCGAACAGG